CAAAGAUGUGAGACUUUUCAGAAAGUGCUUUUAUCAUUGCGGCCAAUAAAACGCGUUUGUAAUCGAACGAAGCAAGGCAAUUACUUAAUUAACAUCAGGGAUAUGGACAAAAAAGUGAUUCUGAUAGAUGCGGUUUUAUUGUUCUAACUGAGGGUGAACGCAUUCCUCGCAUUCAUAAUCCUCGCCUUCGGCUCGGACUGCAAAUCCGUAUUCCUGGGAGCACGUCUAAAUAUCCGGUCGAAAAUAUCCAGUCCAAAAUAUCCAGUUAAAAAUAUCCGAUUGUAAAAAACCCAAUAGCAAAUAUAUCCGCGAACAUUGGAUCUGUUUGUAGAUCCAAGAAGGUGGAUUGGAGUUCAAAAUAAAUUUGUCUAAUUUUUGUAUUGGAUUUGAUAGCAUGUGGAUAUUUGUGUUUUGGAUAUUAUUGUUUUGGACAUUUUUCAUUGGAGAUUUUUGUUUGGGUAUUUUCGACUGGAUAUUUAGACGUGGAACCGUAUUCCUUUUUCCAGAAUCACUUUUUCCGGUCUGGCCGUGAAAUAGUAUUGUUACGUGUCCCCCUUCGAAUACUCAUUCAUUUGUCUAUGAUCUGAACUUGGCCAAAAGAACGACUGUCUUUUGGAUAACAUUAUUCUUGGCGGGUCUCUCUUCGGAGUUCUUACAUGACAUCGUAAUACUUCUUGUAAUUAAUAAACCGCCCCAAACAUUUACCAACCUGUGUCGUCUUUAUUCUUCGCUGGAUAUAACAGUGUAUUUCGAUACAAGUGUGAUGGGGUGAUAACGAGUGUGAAGUUGGCCGCCCGAGGUGAAGCCGAAGGCUGCCAAUCACAUGGGUUGAAACACCUCGUCGCACGUGUGCCUGUGUUAGUGAUGAACUAUGUCAUUUCUCGUUUACUAGUAAACGAAACACGUAACACUAGCGAUCGUGGACGUUAAGGAACAUCAAACUGGGAUUGCAACUGGAUGAGUGACCAAGUGCGAUAGGACCUACGGUCAAAACCCAGGAGAACCAUUUUUCUUCUUCUUUUUUCUUGUUAAUUCACGUUUGUAAACCGUUGAGAUAGUCCGUAAUGGUAUACCCAUCGUUAUAAAUCAGUAAUGAAACAAUUAUUCAAUUAAUUAUUAAUUUAUCGAACAAGGCAAAUUCAUAUCUGCUGGAAUGGGACCUCAACAGGUUGCCUUAUCAGGUCCAGAGCCAAUCAACCUGAUGAGGCCUGGGUUUGACAGUGCAUUACACUCCAGAUAAGGUCCUGAUGGGCCAAGCCCUAGUCGAGUGCACGCUGAUAGCCAAAGCGACGAGCUUCGCCCCCAGCAGACGAUGCGACACCGAGUCGAAGGCUCGCCUGAAGAUAACAAAGGGCGCAUACACUUUCCCAGCAGACUGACGAAGGCCUCUUUGGAGGGUUAUCUGCAAGGUCAUGAAGUUCUCCAUUACUCCGCAUUCCUGGCAAAGGCCUGUCUGCUUCUCUCGUGUUAUCGCUUCCGCUUCAGCCUAUCUCCAAAAUCGGUCAUUCAAAAUCUCCGUGACGAUCUUGGUGACGUUGUUUACCGAGGCAAUGCCCAUGUAAUGGAUCUGAUAAGUCUCCCUUUUUUGUUGACUAUACCUGGAAUGAUACUGGUCCAACCUCUAGGAAUUCGGCCGGUGUUCACAAUUUUCUUGAAAAUUUUGAGUUACUCCCGCCAACUCGAGGGAAGUCCUUUGAAAAAAUCCUUCGCGAUCCCAUCAUCUCCGGGGGCGGUACCCUUUUCUUACUUUAUUGAUGCUGACGUGAAAUUUCAGAUGCGGCUCGUCCAGCGUCGGGUUGUCAGAACUGGAGAGGAGCAAAAACAACUGCCCUAAGAGGGAAACUCCGGAUGAGAAAAUAGUUCCACCAGGAUGGGUUGAUGGCCAGUGUCCUUCUUGGUUCUUCCUUGACAAGGACAACUGCCUGCAAGUACCCAGCAGGGAUUCGGAUAUUGGGAAAUUUAUCGAGGGUAUCUUCGGUACUCAGCUUUCCUGGGCUCAACAAGAGUUUUGAAUACCACAAUCGUCCCACGAGACUCCUAAGGAGCCCUGCCAUCGAAGGAGGUGCAGUAGAUCUCCUUGUAAUUACCUCUAGCUUUGCAUUGCAGAUGGUAACAUUCUUUGCUAAGCCAGGGCUUUCCAGGAAUCCUUGACCGACGUGCAGCUGCAUUAUCCUGUCAAUCCUGGCAUCAGGGGAAAUCAUGGAAUUCGCAGGAAGCCGCGAGGAUUCCGCAAGGGUAUCGACAAAGACUGCCGAUCUCUAAUGAUCCCACUUCAGAGACGAGAAUGGAUUUUCUAAUUUUUUUGAUUUUUAAGACGUAUCGCAAUUCGAAGGUGAUGGAAUUCUUGGAGAAUAGGAUGAAAGUAAUGAGGAAAUGAUGCAGGUAAAUACUCUCAAUUAGGGAAAGUGCAUUCAUGAAAUACCACAACAAAUAGUAAAGAUCUUUGUAGCGAUGUGCAAAAGGAUGAAAGAGAUAGUGAUGACUAAAAUACUUGGGGUAUCACAAGUUCUGCAAUAAUUGUUUUGUGCGAUGUGAUAAUUAUAAUCAAAAUUUUAGUUGUUGUGCACGAUAAGUCCAUAUUAGGGAAUUACUUAUUGAAAUGGUUAAAUUUCAUAUAUAAUGAAUCGAGAAACAUCUUUCUCAUUAAUUUCAACAUUCAUUACAAUGAGAAGAACAUGUGAUGUAGUAUUUAUGGACAAAUGGAGAAGAAGGAAAUGUGUAAGGAAAGGACAUCAGUAUCGUGACUAGACUUCAAUUGGUUGAAAUUAUAAAGGAGAAAAGAAUUUUGAGAAAAUUGGUAAAUUGCUGAAUUCUAUCGACAAUUUUGCAAGAAUUUCCAUUUAUAUCGGUAGAAAUAUGAUUUCGGAGAUUAUUAAAAAUUAAAAAAAUUUUGAUAUCAUUUAUUUAUUCAAAUUUUUAAUCAAAAGAAUCUUCCACUAAAAUUAUGAAGAUAAUCAAUGACGAAAAGACAUUUGAAAUUAGCAAAGAGGUAUUAGAACUGAUAACCUUGUAAAUUCUUCAGGAGAAUAAUUAAGGAUUUUAAUUGGAUACUACAAAAAUGUAAAAUUAAGGUUUAUAGAAAAUUUUUGGAAUUAUUGGUUAACGCUCUGAAUGGUAUUCUGAUUUGUGUGCAACUGAGUCUAUCGAACCGUAUGAAAUGAGCACAGACAUUCAAAAGUAGGGUAAUAUUUCUUAAAGUACUGACAUUAAGUAAUCGAUGAGCUGUAACGUACUGCUUUUAAACAUCUUAAUUUUUAGUCUGAUUAGAAUGCAGAUGACUUAAAGAAAGAGAUGGAACAAAAAACCACAUUAACGUUGUCGCCGCUUGUAUCGUACAUAACAUAUGUUUUUUGUGAGAAAGACAAAAACUUACAAACAUUUGCUGUUUUCAAUGUACAAGAAUGUCUGAUUACAGUGAAUAGUAAUGAGUUGGUUAGCAGACCAACCCAUUAGUAUGCAACAAUAUAAUUUUUUCCUCAAUGGAAACUUUAUCACAACUAGAGAUAACGAAUUCGUGAGCAUAAAACCAUAAAAACACAAAAAAAUUUCACAUAAUGUGGUAUUACACGACGUAGUAAAUACAGCUUACUACAUUUAAUUUCCUAUGAAAAUACUAUACACGCAGCACUACUGAUUGCACUAAUAAUUAUUUAACUAUUUUUUUUAAUAAAAAACAGAUAAAAAUCAGAUUAUAGUACGACUUAAAAAUAUUUCUGCGCUCGAUCGUCUAUAGUUAUAAAAUUGAAUUUCAAAUCUUCAGCUUCACCUUUAGCCCCUUUUCUGCGACAAUAUAUAAAACUUUUCCAAAAGACAUGCACAUCCAUCCUAACACAGAUACACACAUUUCCUGUGAAUAUAAAAUCGUUUCGUUCCAAAACAUUCUACAUAAUUUGCAAGAAAAAAUAGAAAGCCCUCAAAAUCAAGGAUUGUAAACCUUCCAUUUUACGAACAUAUGUGUAACAAUGUCCUCUUGUUCGAUUUUUUUUAUUUCGACAGGUGCAUAACGCACAGUUCUACACAAAAAAAACGUUAUUCAACCCUAUUUCGAUAUGGACACUCGAGCGUUGCGUGUAAACGUAAAACGGAAGUCUCAUGCUUUCGUCACUCUUCGGUAAAUUAUUAGAGACACGAGGUGAUUAUUUUCACCGAAGUUAACAUAAAUUUCACUUUUAGUGUCUGGCUGAAGAUUGUACAUAUAUAAAAAAGUUAAUGAAUGGAGAAUUGUUUUUCCAUCAGAUAAAAACCCUGAAGAUUAUUAUUCCAUCGAAUGUGGAAAAAAAAAAUUUUUUCGCCGCAUUCUCUGGUUGAAAAAAAAAAUGGCAGGAAAAAAGGGGUUGCAUCGA